CUACCAUGCAAGUCGAACGGACCACUUCAGUGGUUAGUGGCGCACGGGUGAGUAACACGUGGUUGACCUACCCCAAAGUAAGGGAUAACGGUCCGAAAGGACUGCUAAUACCUUAUAAGCUCCCGGUGUUUAGAAAACUGGGAGAAAAGUUCCGGCGCUUUGGGCGGGGACUGCGGACCAUCAGCUAGUUGGUGUGGUAACGGCACACCAAGGCGACGACGGAUAGGGGACCUGAGAGGGUGGCCCCCCACACUGGAACUGAGACACGGUCCAGACUCCUACGGGAGGCAGCAGUGAGGAAUAUUGCACAAUGGGCGCAAGCCUGAUGCAGCGACGCCGCGUGGGUGAUGAAGGUUUUCGGAUCGUAAAGCCCUUUUCUAGAUGACGAGUAAGGACGGUAGUCUAGGAAUAAGUGUCCGG
rnacentral:rRNA from 1 species